GAUUUUGAUAUUGGUUUUGGUGGGCAAUGGGCUUCUCUGAUGCAAGAGCUGGCUAUGAGGAAUGGGGGUGUCCCUUCUCUUAAAAUCACUGCCUUUGCUUCUCCUUCCUCACAUGAUGAGGUCGAACUCGGUUUUACUCGAGAAAAUUUAAGAAUCUUCGCUAGUGAAAUCAACAUGCCAUUCGAGCUCGAAAUUUUAGGCCACGAAUCUUUAAAUUCUGGUUCUUGGUCAUUGCCUCUUUGUGUAUCAGAGAAAGAAGUAAUUGCUGUGAAUCUUCCAAUUGGGCCCUUCUCUAAUUAUCCAUUAUCCCUUCCUGUGGCACUUCGAUUGGUGAAGCAGCUUUCACCUAAAGUGGUGGUCUCAUUGGACAGGGGCUGCGAUCGAACUGACCUGGCAUUCGCCCACCAUGUAAAUCAUUCUAUUCA
rnacentral:misc_RNA from 1 species